AUGUGAAGCUCCUUCCAGUCCUGAGUGCUCCAGAAGAAACGUUAAUGAGUCCAUGUACAAAUGUGAGUGGAGAAUGAAUACGACGCAGAGCGAUGUGAAGUUUGACUUUUACUUUGAAAUGCAUGAUGAGGAGAUUGCAGAAGUAUCUGCUGGCUUGACCUCUGCAACCAAAACAGAAGUGAAAACUAAAAAAAGCUUGGGACCUUUAAGAACACCUCAGCUCAGUUCCUUGAGGACCAGGUUACGAAUUAUGAAGCUGUGAAUAUUUGGGUGGAAGCACGUGUUGGAAAUUCCAGCUGUGCGUCAGUCAAGAGAAGUGUGAUACUCGCAGACAUAAUCAAGUAUGAAGCUCCACGCGACAUUUCCAUGUCCUGGGUAAAAAACAACCUUCACUUAAACUGGAGAGAGGAGAACCAUCCGGCUUUAGCUGAGGUCCGGUUCCGUCAAGAUGAAGGCUCCUCCUGGCAGAGUAGAUCAAAUACAACAACAACCAAGGGGACGACUUCUAUGUUCCAGAUGGUUUGUUGAGGAACUCAUCGUACAAGGUUCACAUCAGACAGCAGUCCACCCAGGCCCUUAACCCCACUGUGGAGCCCCUGGUCUUCAGUUGUGCGAGUUCCUGCAGGUUGAGUGAAAACGUCAUGUUGACUUGGUUUGA